UGUUCGGAAUCAUUGGGCGUAAAGGGCGUGUAGGCGGUUUCAUAAGUCAGCUGUGAAAGCCCAGGGCUUAACCCUGGAAGUGCGGUUGAAACUUUGGAACUUGAGUCCCAGAGGGGAAAGCAGAAUUCCGUAUGUAGAGGUGAAAUUCGUAGAGAUACGGAGGAAUACCAGUGGCGAAGGCGGCUUUCUGGAUGGUGACUGACGCUGAGACGCGAAAGCGUGGGUAGCAAACAGGAUUAGAUACCCUGGUAGUCCACGCUGUAAACGAUGAGCACUAGACGUUGUCGGUAUUGACCCUGGCAGUGUCGUAGCUAACGCGUUAAGUGCUCCGCCUGGGGAUUACGGUUGCAAGACUAAAACUCAAAGGAAUUGACGGGGGCCCGCACAAGCGGUGGAUCAUGUGGUUUAAUUCGAAGCAACGCGCAGAACCUUACCCAGGUUUGAAAUCCUGAGAACUCUCUAGAGAUAGAGAGGUGCCCUUCGGGGAACUCAGUGACAGGUGCUGCAUGGCUGUCGUCAGCUCGUGUUGUGAAAUGUUGGGUUAAGUCCCGCAACGAGCGCAACCCUUACCGUUAGUUGCCAGCAUUUAGUUGGGCACUCUAGCGGGACUGCCGGCGUUAAGCCGGAGGAAGGUGGGGAUGACGUCAAGUCCUCAUGGCCUUUAUAUCUGGGGCUACACACGUGAUACAAUGGCAAGUACAAAGGGCAGCAAAACUGCAAAGUCUAGCUAAUCCCAAAAAGCUUGCCCCAGUUCGGAUUGGAGUCUGCAACUCGACUCCAUGAAG
rnacentral:rRNA from 1 species